rnacentral:miRNA from 1 species
ACCUAGGAUCUUGUUAAAAUGCGGAGUCUUUCAUUUGGCCGAGAACCUGCAUUUCUAACAAGCUCUCUGGGGAU